rnacentral:lncRNA from 1 species
GAAUGUUUGGUAGAACGUGACGGUAAACCUGUCUGGUGUGGUGCUUCUAUAGGAAGGUUUUUAAAUUGUUGUUUCUGUAAUGGUAAUGUGUCUUUUUUCAUUCAUUGUUCUGGGCAUUUCUGGUAGUUUCCAUCUGGAAAUGCACAGUCAGGGCGUGGAAUGUUUGCUAGAAUUAUUUGAUCAUUUCUUCUUCACUGCCGUUGUUUUUCUUGAAACACCCAAUUGGAUAUCAAACCUCCAUGUUGAUAUUCUAAUUUGCUUUGCUCAAGGGCAUUUCGUUUAUCUUUUUGGAUGACUUCCUCAGCUUGCUUCCAGUUCUACAGAAUUUACUCUUUGCCUUUAUGUUUUUGUGGUGUCCCUGAGGUCAAGUUUAAACUCAGGAAUAACCUUUCACUCUGGUCUUCUUUCAGGGUGCCAGUGGGGUGGGGACCUGGCUUCACAGAGUGAGGCAGAUCUGUGGGCUCAAAUGCGCCUUUGCAGGACUCACAGCUGUUCUGUGUUUUCAGUCUCUCCUGGUGCAGAGGGUCACGUGCCUCACUUCCCAGCCCAUGAGAGUUGAGUGGGAAUCAGCCUGCUGCCUUUCCCCACCCUAGAACUUGGGCUUCAGCUUUCUCUGUUCUGCCACGUUAAUUGUCACUUCUCUAUCCACUUGCUGUUUUCCAAAACGGUUGAUCUCUCCUAUGCUGGUGUCUCUAAUUCUGUCUUCGUGGUCUCUUUUUAUUCCCUUACUGGCCAGUGGAGGUGCAGGAGUUGAUCUUGUUACUUCUACAGUAAUACAAGCAUUUGCUUCCUGGAGAACCCAACCUGCCACAACAGGAAACAUUUAGAUCCUACAAAGUCAGCUGGGAAGGGAAGGAAUUCAGAAAAAAGAAUGAAACACUGAAAACUGUAUAUCAAAUAAGAAGAAUGAUGUGGAUUGUCGACUGGGAGACUAUAAAACCCAUCACUGAGCUCUUCAGGUCACAGAAGAGGGAGCCAGAAAGGGAUUAGAUUACAGAAGAGGAGAAGGCAGUGCGCCUACAGAGACUGGAGUGAUGUGGCCACAAGCCAAGGAAUGCAGACAGUGACCAGAAGCUGGAAAAGACAAGGAUCUCUCCCUUGGGACCUCCAGAGGGAACCAGGCCUGCCAACCCCUUGAUUUUAGCCCCAUA